CAUCCCUACGGGGGGCAGCAGUGAGGAAUAUUGGUCAAUGGACGAGAGUCUGAACCAGCCAAGUAGCGUGAAGGAUGACUGCCCUAUGGGUUGUAAACUUCUUUUAUAUGGGAAUAAAACGUUCCACGUGUGGGAUUUUGUGUGUACCAUAUGAAUAAGGAUCGGCUAACUCCGUGCCAGCAGCCGCGGUAAUACGGAGGAUCCGAGCGUUAUCCGGAUUUAUUGGGUUUAAAGGGAGCGUAGGUGGAUUGUUAAGUCAGUUGUGAAAGUUUGCGGCUCAACCGUAAAAUUGCAGUUGAAACUGG
rnacentral:rRNA from 1 species